rnacentral:misc_RNA from 1 species
GAUGAAGAACGUAGCGAAAUGCGAUAAGUAGUGUGAAUUGCAGAAUUCAGUGAAUCAUCGAAUCUUUGAACGCACAUUGCGCCCCUUGGUAUUCCAUGGGGCAUGCCUGUUCGAGCGUCAUUUGUACCUUCAAGCUUUGCUUGGUGUUGGGUGCUUGUCUCGCCUUUGCGUGUAGACUCGCCUUAAAAUAAUUGGCAGCCGGCGUAUUGAUUUCGGAGCGCAGUACAUCUCGCGCUUUGCACUCAUAACGACAGCGUCCAAAAGUACAUUUUACACUCUUGACCUCGGAUCAGGUAGGGAUACCCGCUGAACUCAAGCAUAUCAAUAAGCGGAGGA